GCCUUGGUAGCUCAUUGGUAGAGCUCCUGACUUAUAAGAGUUGCAGGGGUCCCUGGUUCGAUUCCCGGUCCAGCCA
rnacentral:tRNA from 1 species